rnacentral:rRNA from 1 species
CAGCUUUUGGCUGGUUGUAGCAUUUCACGUAGUUCUCGGCCUUGGUUCAUCCAUCAGGUCCUUUAAGGACUUUCUUUGCUUCGGCUUGGAAGUACAGCUUUUGGCUGGUUGUAGCAUUUCACGUAGUUCUCGGCCUUGGUUCAUCCAUCAGGUCCUUUAAGGACUUUCUUUGCUUCGGCUUGGAAGUACAGCUUUUGGCUGGUUGUAGCAUUUCACGUAGUUCUCGGCCUUGGUUCAUCCAUCAGGUCCUUUAAGGACUUUCUUUGCUUCGGCUUGGAAGUA